CCUACGGGAGGCAGCAGUCGGGAAUUUUGGGCAAUGGGCGAAAGCCUGACCCAGCAACGCCGCGUGAAGGAUGAAGUAUUUCGGUAUGUAAACUUCGAAAGAAUGGGAGGAAUUAAUGACGGUACCAUUUGUAAGCUCCGGCUAACUACGUGCCAGCAGCCGCGGUAAUACGUAGGGAGCAAGCGUUGUUCGGAUUUACUGGGCGUAAAGGGCGCGUAGGCGGCAAUUCAAGUCAUCUGUGAAAUCUCCGGGCUUAACUCGGAACUGUCAGAUGAUACUGCUUUGCUAGAGUGCAGAAGGGGCAAUCGGAAUUCUUGGUGUAGCGGUGAAAUGCGUAGAUAUCAAGAGGAACACCUGAGGUGAAGACGGGUUGCUGGGCUGACACUGACGCUGAGGCGCGAAAGCCAGGGGAGCAAACGGGAUUAGAUACCCCGGUAGUCCUGGCCCUAAACGAUGAAUACUUGGUGUCUGGAGUUAUUAUCGCUCCGGGUGCCGUCGCUAACGUUUUUAGUAUUCCGCCUGGGGAGUACGCACGCAAGUGUGAAACUCAAAGGAAUUGACGG
rnacentral:rRNA from 1 species